rnacentral:lncRNA from 1 species
UGAAUUUAAGCAGAGAGAGACGUUGGUGGUCUCCUCUCCCUUUACCUUUUUUUAUUAUUUUUCUUUUUAUAUUCGUUGGAUGAGAGAGAGACUGAUGGAGUGAGAGGACCACUUGUCAGCCAUGUACCAGUCACAAGAAGAUAAGAUUGCCACGUGGCACCUGGCAAUUGGAUUGAAAGAGAUAUUUUUUAAUAUUUUCUGAUUUUCUAUUUAACUAUUUAUUUAAA